GGCAGCGGGGAUUCGACUUCCCCUGGGGGUAGGGUUA
rnacentral:tRNA from 1 species